UCCCUGUUUCUGUCCCUAUCUCCUUCUCUCUCCCAGAAAGUUUCUUGCCUUCUCUUGACUUACAGAAGACAUCACUUCCUUGAAGACUUGGCUCACUAUAAGCCUCCUGGCGGCUCCUUCCUGGGGCACUGGGCCAAACUCCUGACACGAUUAAGAAGAGGUUUUGGAACUGGGCCAGACUAGGAAAACAGGAAAGAUGACGAACAAAGCUUCCCUCCUUCUGAGGGUUGUUUAUUCCAGUGUUCCUUCAGUUGAGUUUUCUGGGUACACAGCAGCCCUUGGCUUUCCAUCCCAUGUGCAGCCUCUGGCCCAGCACUUAGUCCACUCUCAGUCAUAGAGCUUAUCACACAGACUUGCUCCAGUGCCCACUUGUCCAACUGCCCCAAACUCCUGGAAACCAGAAAGAACACAGAUGUAUCUCAACUGAGUGCCUACCAUAUUUCUACAGGAGGAACUGUCUUCGCAUAAAAGCCCCUCUGCAGCUCCUUAAGCUGCUCCCCAUCGCUCGAAUUACCACCUGAGCUCUGCUUCCUGUCUGAUCAGCAGCAGCAUUUGAUUCUCAUAGGAGUGCGAACUCUUGUGAACUGCGCAUAUCCUACUGAUGCUUCAAUUGCCUCAUCUUUGGUCAACAAGAGCCUCUUCAAGACAUUGGCUUCUGAGCCCUUUUGACAUGACACUAUAGCUUUAUUGCUUUCUGGAAUGAAAAAGUCUUCUUGGUUCAUCUUGUAUAUUUUUUGCUCCAGACCUUGAAUCAGCUAUUUCUCCUAGGAGCCCUGGUUCUUUUGUGGGAAAUGAGUCUGAACAUCCAUAUUCGAGAGCAUGUUCUUGCCUACAUGUGAAUGGCAAGGCUGGAACGGAAGGCGGCAGACGUGUCCAGGGCAGCACUGAUGGCCGGACUGACCCCACCUCCCCCCAUCGUCCAUACUUAGAGCCAGCGGCCACUGCAAGUGUAAUUAGUCAAUAAAUCAUCCCGAGUGAUAAAUAGAAUGAUAGAUGCAGGUUUCACUUGAUCACUUUUUUAUUAAGGAGAAAUAAAUCAGCACCACAUUGUUGCUAUAAACCUUUCAAACUGGUCAGAUCCUGGCUGGUAGGAGCUGAUUAACAUGGCCACGUGUAGAGACCAUUUGUAGCUGAUCAUUGAGAUCAAUCAAUCCCUGUCAAGUUCCCUUCUUAGAAGAGGUGGCAGAAGCCAGGUGCUGUUCCACCAUCCACUGCUCCUGUGGCUUCUUGCCGCAGGGGCAAUGGGGAGAGUGUGAGCGUGCUUUGGUGCCAGACAGCCCAGAUUUGAAUCCCAGCUGAGCCACCAACCAGCUGUGUAACCCCGGCUAGCUGUCAUCCCCUCUCUUGGCCUCAGCUUCCUCUUCCCGAACAAGAGCGUGACACCAGGAACUUCCUUAGAGAGUUUUUCUGAGCAUUGUGGUGUCAAACUUCUUGGUUUCAGGACCCUAUUAUGUGCCUAAAAAUUGUCAAAG
rnacentral:lncRNA from 1 species